rnacentral:rRNA from 1 species
UACGUAGGGUCCGAGCGUUAAUCGGAAUUACUGGGCGUAAAGCGUGCGCAGGCGGUUCGCCAAGUCAGGUGUGAAAUCCCCGGGCUUAACCUGGGAACUGCGCUUGUAACUAGCGGGCUAGAGUGCGGCAGAGGGGGGUGGAAUUCCACGUGUAGCAGUGAAAUGCGUAGAUAUGUGGAGGAACACCGAUGGCGAAGGCAGCCCCCUGGGUCGACACUGACGCUCAGGCACAAAAGCGUGGGGAGCAAACAGG